rnacentral:rRNA from 1 species
AUUGAACGCUGGCGGCAUGCCUUACACAUGCAAAUCGAACGGUAACGGGCCUUCGGGUGCCGACGAGUGGCGGACGGGUGAGUAAUACAUCGGAACGUGCCCGAUCGUGGGGGAUAACGAGGCGAAAGCUUUGCUAAUACCGCAUACGAUCUACGGAUGAAAGCAGGGGACCGCAAGGCCUUGCGCGGACGGAGCGGCCGAUGGCAGAUUAGGUAGUUGGUGGGAUAAAAGCUUACCAAGCCGACGAUCUGUAGCUGGUCUGAGAGGAUGAUCAGCCACACUGGGACUGAGACACGGCCCAGACUCCUACGGGAGGCAGCAGUGGGGAAUUUUGGACAAUGGGCGCAAGCCUGAUCCAGCCAUGCCGCGUGCAGGAUGAAGGCCUUCGGGUUGUAAACUGAUUUUGUACGGAACGAAAAGCCUUCUUUUAAUACAGGAGGGUCAUGACGGUACCGUAAGAAUAAGCACCGGCUAACUACGUG